rnacentral:tRNA from 1 species
GCCCGGAUGGCGGAACCGGUAGACGCACGGGACUUAAAAUCCCGUGGGGCAGGCAGCCCCGUGCGGGUUCGACUCCCGCUCCGGGCAC